GUGUCAGCAGCCGCGGUAAUACGUAGGUGGCAAGCGUUGUCCGGAUUUACUGGGCGUAAAGGGCGUGCAGGCGGUUUGUUUAGUCUAGGGUGAAAGCUCCCGGCUUAACUGGGAGAGGUCCUUGGAUACUGGCAAACUUGAGGGAGGCAGAGGAAAGUGGAAUUCCCGGUGUAGUGGUGAUAUGCGUAGAUAUCGGGAGGAACACCAGUGGCGAAGGCGGCUUUCUGGGCCUUACCUGACGCUGAGACGCGAAAGCGUGGGGAGCGAACCGGAUUAGAUACCCCCGUAGUCC
rnacentral:rRNA from 1 species